UUAAGUGAAUAAGGGCGCACGGUGGAUGCCUUGGCACUAGGAGCCGAUGAAGGACGGGACUAACACCGAUAUGCUUUGGGGAGCUGUACGUAAGCUAUGAUCCAGAGAUUUCCGAAUGGGGGAACCCAACAUCUUUAAUAGGAUGUUACGAUUGUGUGAAUACAUAGCACAUUCGAGGUAGACGCAGAGAACUGAAACAUCUAAGUACCUGCAGGAAGAGAAAGAAAAUUCGAUUCCCUGAGUAGCGGCGAGCGAAACGGGAAAAGCCCAAACCAGCAAGCUUGCUUGUUGGGGUUGUAGGACUCCAAUAUGGUAGUUCUUUCAGAUAGUCGAAUGACUUGGAAAAGUCAGUCAAAGAGGGUAAAAACCCCGUAGACGAAAUGUGGAAGACACCUAGGAGGAUCCUGAGUACGGCGGAACACGAGAAAUUCCGUCGGAAUCCGGGAGGACCAUCUCCCAAGGCUAAAUACUCCCUAGUGACCGAUAGUGAACCAGUACCGUGAGGGAAAGGUGAAAAGCACCCCGGAAGGGGAGUGAAAUAGAACCUGAAACCGUGUGCCUACAACAAGUCAAAGCCCGUUAAUGGGUGAUGGCGUGCCUUUUGUAGAAUGAACCGGCGAGUUACGAUUGCAUGCGAGGUUAAGUUGAAGAGACGGAGCCGCAGCGAAAGCGAGUCUGAAUAGGGCGUUUGAGUAUGUAGUCGUAGACCCGAAACCAUGUGAUCUACCCAUGUCCAGGUUGAAGGUGCGGUAAAACGCACUGGAGGACCGAACCCACGUACGUUGAAAAGUGCGGGGAUGAGGUGUGGGUAGCGGAGAAAUUCCAAACGAACUUGGAGAUAGCUGGUUCUCUCCGAAAUAGCUUUAGGGCUAGCCUCGGAAUUGAGAAUGAUGGAGGUAGAGCACUGUUUGGACUAGGGGCCCAUCUCGGGUUACCGAAUUCAGAUAAACUCCGAAUGCCAUUCAUUCAUAUCCGGGAGUCAGACUGUGAGUGAUAAGAUCCAUAGUCGAAAGGGAAACAGCCCAGACCACCAGCUAAGGUCCCAAAAUAUAUGUUAAGUGGAAAAGGAUGUGGGGUUGCACAGACAACUAGGAUGUUGGCUUAGAAGCAGCCACCAUUUAAAGAGUGCGUAAUAGCUCACUAGUCGAGUGACCCUGCGCCGAAAAUGUACCGGGGCUAAACAUAUUACCGAAGCUGUGGAGUACACCUUUAGGUGUAUUGGUAGGAGAGCGUUCUAAGGGCGUUGAAGGCAGAUCGUGAGGACUGCUGGAGCGCUUAGAAGUGAGAAUGCCGGUAUGAGUAGCGAAAGACAGGUGAGAAUCCUGUCCACCGAAUGACUAAGGUUUCCUGGGGAAGGCUCGUCCGCCCAGGGUUAGUCGGGACCUAAGCCGAGGCCGACAGGCGUAGGCGAUGGAUAACAGGUUGAUAUUCCUGUACCCGUUGUUUUUGUUUGAGCAAUGGAGGGACGCAGGAGGCUAAGGAAUGCAGACGAUCGGAAAUGUCUGUCCAAGCAGUAAGUCUGAAGAGGAGUCAAAUGCUUCUUUUCUUAAGGACAAGCUGUGAUGGGGAGGGAAAUAAUAGUACCGAAGUUCCUGAUGUCACACUGCCGAGAAAAGCUUCUAGUGAGAAAACAGCGGCCCGUACCGCAAACCGACACAGGUAGUCGAGGAGAGAAUCCUAAGGUGAGCGAGAGAACUCUCGUUAAGGAACUCGGCAAAAUGACCCCGUAACUUCGGGAGAAGGGGUGCUGAUCAUACGAUCAGCCGCAGUGAAUAGGCCCAAGCGACUGUUUAUCAAAAACACAGGUCUCUGCAAAAUCGUAAGAUGAAGUAUAGGGUCUGACGCCUGCCCGGUGCUGGAAGGUUAAGAGGAGUGCUUAGCGCAAGCGAAGGUACGAAUUGAAGCCCCAGUAAACGGCGGCCGUAACUAUAACGGUCCUAAGGUAGCGAAAUUCCUUGUCGGGUAAGUUCCGACCCGCACGAAAGGCGUAACGAUUUGGGCACUGUCUCAACGAGAGACUCGGUGAAAUUUUAGUACCUGUGAAGAUGCAGGUUACCCGCGACAGGACGGAAAGACCCCAUGGAGCUUUACUGUAGUUUGAUAUUGAGUGUCUGUACCGCAUGUACAGGAUAGGUAGGAGCCGUAGAAAUCGGAACGCUAGUUUCGAUGGAGGCGCUGGUGGGAUACUACCCCUGCGUUAUGGCCACUCUAACCCGCACCACUAAUCGUGGUGGGAGACAGUGUCAGAUGGGCAGUUUGACUGGGGCGGUCGCCUCCUAAAAGGUAACGGAGGCGCCCAAAGGUUCCCUCAGAAUGGUUGGAAAUCAUUCGAAGAGUGUAAAGGCAGAAGGGAGCUUGACU
rnacentral:rRNA from 1 species